AUGAAUAAGCUCACAAGCUACAAUCUGCAAGUACUUGAAACAUUAAACAGGAACAAUAAAAUUCAGGACGUGGUCCUUGUUUGCUAUGCAACGGGUUGUGCUCGCUUCCUACACGAGUCUCUUGCAGCAGGCGGACGUCGUCAGGUGGAGCAGCAAAUGGCUGGAUGCAGGCGCGGUGCAGUAGAUGGUCUGCAGGUUGCGGCCGGUGGCGGACUUGCGUCGGUGACCGGCAAGAAGGUGGACGGGCGCGGUGCUACGCCAAAUCGUGGUGGAUCCCGCCGUGGCCGCCGAACGGAUCCCCGAGGGCGUUGA
rnacentral:rRNA from 1 species